rnacentral:tRNA from 1 species
GGGCGUGUAGCUCAGUUGGUUAGAGCGCGUCACUGAUAAUGACGAGGUCCCCAGUUCGAAUCUAGGCACGCCCA